rnacentral:rRNA from 1 species
AGCAGCCGCGGUAAUUCCAGCUCCAAUAGCGUAUAUUAAAGUUGUUGCAGUUAAAAAGCUCGUAGUUGAAUUUCGGGAUCAGUACGCUGGUCGUGCCUUUGGUAUGUACUGGUGUCACUGAUUCCUCCCUUCUGAAGAACCGUUAUGCCAUUUAUUUGGUGUGGCGGGAAAUCAGGACUGUUACUUUGAAAAAUUAGAGUGUUUAAAGCAGGCUCGCGCUUGAAUACAUUAGCAUGGAAUAAUGAAAUAGGACGUUUGAUCUUAUUUUGUUGGUUUCUAGGAUCGACGUAAUGAUUAAUAGGGAUAGUUGGGGGCAUUAGUAUUCAAUUGUCAGAGGUGAAAUUCUUGGAUUUAUUGAAGACUAACUACUGCGAAAGCAUUUGCCAAGGAUGUUUUCAUUAAUCAAGAACGAAAGUUAGGGGAUCGAAGACGAUCAGAUACCGUCGUAGUCUUAACCAUAAACUAUGCCGACUAGGGAUCGGAUGAUGUUAAUUUUUAAUGACUCAUUCGGCGCCUUAAC